rnacentral:lncRNA from 1 species
UUUUAUUUUUCUAUUUAAUUUCAAAAAUUUAUUUCCUAACAGAUUUUAUUUUUCUAUUUAAUUUCAAAAGUAAUUUUUGCAUUAGAGAUUAUUGUUAAUUAUUUAUCAUUUAAAGCAUAUCUUUCUUAAUAGCGUGAUUUAUUAUUUUAAAUUUUUUAGAUACAUAUUUGGCAAUCAUAUAAAAUAUGACCUAAAAUUAAAAAAUAAUUUAAAAAAAUUAUAAUUUUUUUUAAUAAUUAUUACGUGUAUUUGCACGUACAUUUUACUAAUAUAUAUAUAUAUAUAUAUACUGCCGCCCGCACCUCCGGCCCUCGCUGCCACCUAGAUCCCAACUGCUGAUUCAUAUAUUUAUAUAAAUAUAGAUUUUUUAUAUAUAUAUAUACACUGUAUUAAAGAAGAGUUGGGUGAAAUUGGGAGAAAUUGGAGGUGAUGUAUGUCCCUCAAUUACUCCCAACUCUCCUUUAAACCCUCCCCUUCAACAAUCUAUUUUUAAACCAAUUGUCCUUACAGUAAGUGGCAAAAGGCUUGAUGAUUGAUAUUGGAGAUCGCAAGUUCGAAUUUUAGUUGAUUCAUAAUUCCAACUAAGCAGAUUGCAUACCACCUUUCUCUCCAAAAAAAGAAAAAAAAAAUUAUUUUUACACUUCAAUAUUGCCUACAUCCGGUCCACUAAUAAAUUACAUAGGCUGAACCUAUUUUUUAAUAAU